rnacentral:rRNA from 1 species
UUGAACGCUGGCGGCAUGGCUAAAGCAUGCAAGUCGAACGAGAACCUUCGGGUGAAAGUGGCGAAAGGGCGAGGAAUACGAUCGAACGUACCCCAAGGUGGGGGAUAGCGUCGGGAAACUGGCGGUAAUACCCCAUGUGCUCUACGGAGGAAAGGCCACCCUUAAAAGUGGGCGCCUCGGGAGCGGCGAUCGUCCUAUCAGGUAGUUGGUGAGGUAAAGGCUCACCAAGCCGAAGACGGGUAGCGGGUGUGAGAGCAUGACCCGCCGCAUCGGAACUGAGACACUGUCCGGACUCCUACGGGAGGCUGCAGCGACGAAUCUUCCGCAAUGGGCGAAAGCCUGACGGAGCAAUGCCGCGUGUGGGAUGAAGCGCCUUCGGCGUGUAAACCACUGUCAGGUUCCAGGAACACUGACCGGAACCAGAGGAAGGGCCGGCUAACCCUGU